AGAUUGAACGCUGGCGGCAGGCCUAACACAUGCAAGUCGAGCGGUAGAGAGGUGCCUGCACCUCUUGAGAGCGGCGGACGGGUGAGUAAUGCCUAGGAAUCUGCCUAGUGGUGGGGGGAUAACGUUCGGAAACGGACGCUAAUACCGCAUACGUCCUACGGGAGAAAGCGGGGGACCUUCGGGCCUCGCGCCAUUAGAUGAGCCUAGGUCGGAUUAGCUAGUUGGUGAGGUAAUGGCUCACCAAGGCGACGAUCCGUAACUGGUCUGAGAGGAUGAUCAAGUCACACUGGAACUGACGACACCGGUCCAGACCUCCGUACGGGAGCAGCAGGUGGGAAUAGUUGGACAAGUGGGACGAAAGCCUGAUCCAAGCCAUCGCCGCGUGUGUAGAAGUAGGUCGUUCGAUAGUAAGCUACGUUAAGGUGGAGGUAAGGUUGUUAACUUAA
rnacentral:rRNA from 1 species